GCGAGGGUAGCGAAGCGGUCAAACGCGAGAGACUCAAAAUCUCUUGGCUUAGUGCCUUCAAAGGUUCGAAUCCUUUCCCUCGCA
rnacentral:tRNA from 1 species